AUUGAACGCUGGCGGCAUGCCUUGCACAUGCAAGUCGAACGGCAGCACGGGAGCAAUCCUGGUGGCGAGUGGCGAACGGGUGAGUAAUAUAUCGGAACGUGCCCAGUCGUGGGGGAUAACGCAGCGAAAGCUGUGCUAAUACCGCAUACGAUCUAAGGAUGAAAGCGGGGGAUCGCAAGACCUCGCGCGGUUGGAGCGGCCGAUAUCAGAUUUGCUAGUUGGUGGGGUAAAGGCCCACCAAGGCGACGAGCUGUAGCUGGUCUGAGAGGACGACCAGCCACACUGGAACUGAGGAACGGUCCAGACUCCUACGGGAGGCAGCAGUGGGGAAUUUUGGACAAUGGGCGCAAGCCUGAUCCAGCAAUGCCGCGUGCAGGAUGAAGGCCUUCGGGUUGUAAACUGCUUUUGUACGGAACGAAACGGCCCUUUCUAAUACAGGGGGCUAAUGACGGUACCGUAAGAAUAAGCACCGGCUAACUACGUGCCAGCCGCCGCUGUAACAC
rnacentral:rRNA from 1 species